rnacentral:lncRNA from 10 species
AUCAGACCUGAGGACAGAAGGGUUCGGGCUGCAAGGAAUCCUAUUGUGUGAGAGCCAUGACACAGUGAGUGGGAGGUUUGAUCUUGACCUCCUGGAGCAUUUUCAUGGAAAAGGCAGUUCCAGGAUUCUUUGUGGCCUCUUCCACAGGAGAAAGUAAAGGAGCUAGAGGCCUCUAAAAAUUUAGUUAUUGAAGAACUGAAGUUAUUCACAGCAACCUGGCAGAAGAGAAUGUGAAAUACGUGGGUCUCAGGUAAUAGGUAAUAUCCCUAAUUCCACGGUGAUGCUGAGAAGCAGAGGGCGCCCUCAGAAGUAGUUUCUCUUAAGGAAUUUGCAGCUGGCCUACAAGAACAGGACCACAGAAUCAGGUCCUGUAAAAGGGUAUGUAAAAGUUGUAUUUUUUGCACAUCUGUCUUGUAUUCUGAGUCACACUCCUCUCAUUGAUUAUCCUUCACAAUAGCCGUUGUUUUAACAGCGUUAUGGAGAUAAAGUUGAGAUGGCAUAUAAUUCACCCAUUUAAAGUAUAAGAUUCAAUGGCUUUUAGUAUAUUCACAGAGUUGUACAAGUGUUACCACAAUCAAUUAAAAAAUGUUUUGGUUACUGUAGCCUUGUAGUAUAGUUUGAA